UACGUAGGUGGCAAGCGUUGUCCGGAUUUAUUGGGUUUAAAGGGUGCGUAGGCGGCUUUGUAAGUCAGUGGUGAAAUAUGGCAGCUCAACUGUCAGGGUGCCAUUGAUACUGCAGAGCUUGAGUACAGAUGAGGUAGGCGGAAUUGACGGUGUAGCGGUGAAAUGCUUAGAUAUCGUCAAGAACACCGAUAGCGAAGGCAGCUUACUGGGCUGACACUGACGCUGAACUGCGAAAGCUAGGGGAGCGAACGGG
rnacentral:rRNA from 1 species